AUUGAACGCUGGCGGCAGGCCUAACACAUGCAAGUCGAACGAGUGGCGUACGGGUUAGCAAUGUCUGGGCAACUGCCUGAGGGAGGGGGUUAACUACUGGAAACGGUAGCUAAUACCCAUCCCAUCAGACUUGCCCUGAUGGGAUUAUCUGGUUGGUGGGGUAACGGCUCACCAAGGCGACGAUCCCUAGCUGGUCUGAGAGGAUGACCAGCCACACUGGAACUGAGACACGGUCCAGACUCCUACGGGAGGCAGCAGUGGGGAAUAUUGGACAAUGGGCGCAAGCCUGAUGCAGCCAUGCCGCGUGUGUGAAGAAGGCCUUCGGGUUGUAAAGUACUUUAAGCGGGGAGGCGUUACCCGCAGAAGAAGCACCGGCUAACUCCGUGCCAGCAGCCGCGGUAAUAC
rnacentral:rRNA from 1 species